CUGUUUCGGUUACAGCAUUUAUAGCUUGUGUCACAUUAUCACCCUUCAACGGCACAUUAUCUCCGACUGCCACGUCAUCACCUUCAAUCGAACCUUCAUCGUCCUUCAACGAAGCCGUUUCGGUGCCAAUAUUCAUAUCUUGUUUUUCUCGAUCACUAUCAGAAUCUUCUAUUACUACCACGUCACCUUUAACCGAACCAUCAUCCUCGUCGCUUAAUAAUAUAAUCUCGGCCCCUCCAUCCAUAGCUCGUGCCACUUCAUCACCAUUCACAGUAGUAGGUUGUUGUGUUUGUGGAGGAGGAGGAAUGGUGAGUGUGACUGUGAUUUUGACCGUAUAUGUGACUUCCUCAUCCUCUUCCUCCGCCAUUGAAAGCUCAAUUCCGGAGAUUGAAAAUGGUGACGUGAACACUGAACCCUAUUAGCAUGGAUUCUGUAAUUGCUGAAAUUACAAGAUAGUGAAGAUACUUUGUAGUUUACAAUACUACUCCUUUCCAAAACCUCAACCUGUUGUUUUCCUUUGAUGUGGUGUAGGCAGACAACCAAUCUCAACCUUCCUCAAUAUCUGGCCCACGGAUAAAGGUCCUAUAACCUUUUAAAUGUAUUAGUGGAAGAAAGAUAAUGUUGGUAAUUGCAAGAGACGACAAGGCAAACUACUACUACUUAGCAUUGACGCCGACAAGUUUGUAAUCGUUUGCUUAACACAUCACUUGGUUUUCCUAAAUAUACUAUGUGAUCGCCAUUUAAUCUUGUCCUUGGCUAUUUGAUUUCAGAAUAUAUCUUUUCCUUGAUUAAUAGUGAGUUUUUCUUUCUUUCAGUGCACAGCUAAUAAAGGAAUAUGUUACUGUGAAUGUUCUUUUUGAGGUUUCAAAAGCUGCUAGCUAAUAUGACACAAUCUAUGGUGGUUGUUCGUGAGGGAUGCCUCAGGAAGCUAGUGCAUGUUAUAGGGUUUUCAUACAGACGCGGCCAAAGUAUGGCAUGUCGUAUGGUUUUGAUCCUAAGAUCAAACAACCACAUUCUGGCGAAUGCUGUUAUGAAAGAGGAAUCUGUAUUAGAUGUAGAGAUACAUUUAAUGAGGAACAAUUGAAAGAAGAGAAGUCCCUCGAAGGCCAGGAAUAUUUUGCACUAGUAACUUGUUCGUAUGAGCUGUUCAUAGAUCCAAAAAGGGUUGCCAAGGCAAGGCAAUGAGUGCUUUUAAUAGGUUGUCAGAGGCUGAACGUAAGGAAUGGGUAGAUAUUGCAAAACAAAGUAUUCUUGUUGAAGAAGCAGCAGCCAAAGCUGAGGAAAGAUUACCAUUUUGGGAAUCUAAGCUUGAGGAGAAAAAAAUGGAAGC